AUUGAACGCUGGCGGCAUGCCUUACACAUGCAAGUCGAACGGUAACGGGCCUUCGGGUGCCGACGAGUGGCGAACGGGUGAGUAAUGCAUCGGAACGUACCUUUCAGUGGGGGAUAACGUAGCGAAAGUUACGCUAAUACCGCAUAGUCUGUGAGCAGGAAAGCAGGGGAUCGCAAGACCUUGGGCUGAUUGAGCGGCCGAUGUCAGAUUAGCUAGUUGGUGAGGUAAAGGCUCACCAAGGCGACGAUCUCUAGCGGGUCUGAGAGGAUGAUCCGCCACACUGGAACUGAGACACGGUCCAGACUCCUACGGGAGGAAGCAGUGGGGAAUUUUGGACAAUGGGGGCAACCCUGAUCCAGCCAUGCCGAGUGAGUGAAGAAGGCCUUCGGGUUGUAAAGCUCUUUCGGUCGGGAAGAAAUCGCAUGGGUUAAUACCCUGUGCGGAUGACGGUACCGGCAUAAGAAGCACCGGCUAACUACGUGCCAGCCGCCGCAGUAAAAC
rnacentral:rRNA from 1 species